UACGGAGGAUGCAAGCGUUAUCCGGAAUGAUUGGGCGUAAAGCGUCCGCAGGUGGCAAUGUAAGUCUGCUGUCAAAGCGUCUGGCUCAACCAGAUACAGGCAGUGGAAACUACACAGCUAGAGUGCGUUCGGGGCAGAGGGAAUUCCUGGUGUAGCGGUGAAAUGCGUAGAGAUCAGGAAGAACACCGGUGGCGAAGGCGCUCUGCUAGGCCGCAACUGACACUGAGGGACGAAAGCUAGGGGAGCGAAUGGG
rnacentral:rRNA from 1 species